rnacentral:rRNA from 1 species
GAUGAACGCUGGCGGCGUGCCUAAUACAUGCAAGUCGAGCGAACAGAUGAGGAGCUUGCUCCUCUGACGUUAGCGGCGGACGGGUGAGUAACACGUGGAUAACCUACCUAUAAGACUGGGAUAACUUCGGGAAACCGGAGCUAAUACCGGAUAAUAUAUUGAACCGCAUGGUUCAAUAGUGAAAGACGGUUUUGCUGUCACUUAUAGAUGGAUCCGCGCCGCAUUAGCUAGUUGGUAAGGUAACGGCUUACCAAGGCAACGAUGCGUAGCCGACCUGAGAGGGUGAUCGGCCACACUGGAACUGAGACAGGGUCCAGACUCCUACGGGAGGCAGCAGUAGGGAAUCUUCCGCAAUGGGCGAAAGCCUGACGGAGCAACGCCGCGUGAGUGAUGAAGGUCUUCGGAUCGUAAAACUCUGUUAUUAGGGAAGAACAAAUGUGUAAGUAACUAUGCACGUCUUGACGGUACCUAAUCAGAAAGCCACGGCUAACUACGUG